CUUUACCUACGGGGGGCAGCAGUUGGGAAUAUUGGACAAUGGAGGAAACUCUGAUCCAGUGACGCCGCGUGAAGGAAGAAGGUCUUCGGAUUGUAAACUUCUUUUAUCAGGGAAGAAAAAAAUGACUGUACAUGAAGAAGAAGCACCGGCUAACUACGAGCCAGCAGCCGCGGUAAUACGUAGGGUGCAAGCGUUAUCCGGAUUUACUGGGUGUAAAGGGCGAGUAGACGGCGUUGCAAGUCAGAUGUGAAAGGCUAGGGCUC
rnacentral:rRNA from 1 species